AUUGAACGCUGGCGGCAUGCCUUACACAUGCAAGUCGAACGGCAGCACGGGGCAACCUGGUGGCGAGUGGCGAACGGGUGAGUAAUGCAUCGGAACGUACCUUUCAGUGGGGGAUAACGUAGCGAAAGUUACGCUAAUACCGCAUAUUCUGUGAGCAGGAAAGCAGGGGAUCGCAAGACCCUGCGCUAAUUGAGCGGCCGAUGUCAGAUUAGCUAGUUGGUGAGGUAAAGGCUCACCAAGGCGACGAUCUGUAGCGGGUCUGAGAGGAUGAUCCGCCACACUGGAACUGAGACACGGUCCAGACUCCUACGGGAGGCAGCAGUGGGGAAUUUUGGACAAUGGGGGCAACCCUGAUCCAGCCAUGCCGCGUGAGUGAAGAAGGCCUUCGGGUUGUAAAGCUCUUUCGGCCGGGAAGAAAUCGCACGGGCUAAUACCCUGUGUGGAUGACGGUACCGGAAUAAGAAGCACCGGCUAACUACGUGCCAGCCGCCGCAGUAAGAC
rnacentral:rRNA from 1 species